CACCCAUUGGUGCAGAUAAGCCAUCAGGACACGGUUUAGUACACUUCCACAACCCGUGGAGGCGAUGGAAAGGCCGUGAGGCUAAAAGGAG
ncrna:unclassified sequences RT-18 RNA